rnacentral:rRNA from 1 species
CCUACGGGUGGCAGCAGUGAGGAAUAUUGGUCAAUGGGCGGAAGCCUGAACCAGCCAAGUAGCGUGAGGGAUGACGGCCCUACGGGUCGUAAACCUCUUUUGCACGGGAAUAAAGCGCUGCACGUGUGCUGCUCUGCAUGUACCUUACGAAUAAGGGCCGGCUAAUUCCGUGCCAGCAGCCGCGGUAAUACGGAAGGCCCGAGCGUUAUCCGGAUUUAUUGGGCUUAAAGGGAGCGUAGGCGGGCGUUAAAGUCAGCUGUAAAAUCUCGCGGCUCAACCUAAACUCGCAGUUGAAACUGGAAGCCUUGAGUUCACAACAGGCAGGCGGAAUUCGUGGUGUAGCGGUGAAAUGCAUAGAUAGCACGAGGAACCCCGAUUGCGAAGGCAGCCUGCCGGGGUGCGACUGACGCUGAGGCUCGAAGGUGCGGGUAUCAAACAGGAUUAGAUACCCGGGUAGUC